CAAGAAUGUGGGGAGAUAUAACAAUCCUAGUUUAACAAUAUCAGCCUUAUUACAGAACGUAAUUUCCUUCGAGUUAGGUAGCACGUACUGUUUAAGUGGAAAAAAUAAGGAGAAGUCAUUGUUUAAUAGGACAAACCUUUACUUAGUGGGUUCGAAAGCAGCAUUACUAUUGUUGCAAGAUUACAAUGUGUCAACAAACGAUAUUGAUCAUCAUAUUCGGAAUUGGCUGUCGAAUUGUAAACUUAGGCUUAACAGAAAACUCACUGCAGAAGCUGAACAAAUUCAACUAUGAAAAUAUUUGUAAAUUCGUGAAAAUAUGCUGGCCUUAAGCACUGUUUUUUUUAAAAAGAAAUCUAAUUUCUAAUUUCCUUCAAAAAGAAAGAAAUUUUUU